AUUCCAGCUCCAAUAGCGUAUAUUUAAGUUGUUGCAGUUAAAAAGCUCGUAGUUGGAUUUCGGGUGUCAUCUGCCGGUCCGCCGUUUCGGUGUGCACUGGCGGGCGUCAUCUUUCUGUCGAGGACGCGCUCCUGUCCUUUAUUGGUCGGGACGCGGAGUCGGCGAGGUUACUUUGAAAAAAUUAGAGUGUUCAAAGCGGGCUUACGCUUGAAUAUAUUAGCAUGGAAUAACACUAUAGGACUCCUGUCCUAUUUUGUCGGUCUUCGGGACGGGAGUAAUGAUUAAGAGGAACAGUUGGGGGCAUUCGUAUUUCAUUGUCAGAGGUGAAAUUCUUGGAUUUUGGAAAGAUGAACUACUGCGAAGGCAUUUACCAAGGAUGUUUUCAUCA
rnacentral:rRNA from 1 species